rnacentral:rRNA from 1 species
AUUGAACGCUGGCGGCAUGCUUUACACAUGCAAGUCGAACGGCAGCACAGGGAGCUUGCUCCUGGGUGGCGAGUGGCGAACGGGUGAGUAAUGUAUCGGAACGUGCCUGGUAGUGGGGGAUAACUACUCGAAAGAGUGGCUAAUACCGCAUGCGAUCUUUGGAUGAAAGCGGGGGACCUUCGGGCCUCGUGCUACUGGAGCGGCCGAUAUCAGAUUAGGUUGUUGGUGGGGUAAAGGCCUACCAAGCCUGCGAUCUGUAGCUGGUCUGAGAGGACGACCAGCCACACUGGGACUGAGACACGGCCCAGACUCCUACGGGAGGCAGCAGUGGGGAAUUUUGGACAAUGGGCGCAAGCCUGAUCCAGCAAUGCCGCGUGCAGGACGAAGGCCUUCGGGUUGUAAACUGCUUUUGUACAGAACGAAAAGUCUCUGGCUAAUAUCUAGAGAUCAUGACGGUACUGUAAGAAUAAGCACCGGCUAACUACGUG